GGAGGGGGGUGGGGGGGUCCUCGGAUGCCAACCAAACUCUGGGGCCGCGGCCUCGUGUAUUGUGGAGCUCUAUACUAGAGUAUAACGUUUGUACCUUUUGUGCAGGAAGGUGAAUUUCUGCGGACAUGCCUUGUAUUUGCUUUAUAAACUUUUUAUAAAAGUUACCGUUUUUAUGUAAUAAACCUUGUCUCGGUGCCCGUGCUUUUACCCCCCUUCCCCCCCAUCCCCUCCUUGGCCAAACCCCACUGCCACAGGAUCGUAACUUCUAGGGUUACGUUAGGAAUCUCAUUAAUUGUUUAAUAGCUUUGAAAUGUCAGUUCAGGUAUGGGAGGAAUUAACCCCCGGCUGCCGUCUCCCGGCAGAGGUGUCUGCCAGCUAUUUUGGGUGCUGCUCUCCUUAUCUGAUAUGGAAGCUGUGGAGGUCCCCCCCACACCCCCCCCAAGCAUUGCUGAGCCCUGAGGGGGUGCUGCCGGGGGGGGGCUUUUCUGGGUCUUUUGCCUCCCCCCUUCCCCCCGGAGCAGUGCUGCUGUAUCUCCCUGAUGAGGUGCUCUGGGGUGGGGGGCUGUAUGAUGUCCCCUUCCCCCCCCCCCCCAAAGGAAGGGAUGCUCAUGGGAUGCAGCUGCUUCUGAUUAGGAUUGCUCAGAGCUGUGCCAUUCCAUUGGGGGGGGAAAGCUGGGGGUGCCCCACAUCUGUCCUGGUCCCUCAGGAGGUGAUAGGGGAUGCUUAGAGCUGAAAUGCCUCCACUCCCCGGAUUAAUUCCCUCCAGCCUCCCCCCCCCCCCCCCCGAAGCAGAUGUGACCCAAGCCUGGGGCUGGCUCAGCUGUGGGGCGGCUGCAGCACAGCUGGGCUCAAUCCUAAAUCCUGCUCUCUGGGGAGGGCUUGGGCUCUGCUGCCCAAAUAUCCCCCCUUCCCCCCCCCCCCCCCCCCCCCCC
rnacentral:lncRNA from 1 species